UGGGGAAUUUUGGACAAUGGACGCAAGUCUGAUCCGGCCAUUCCGCGUGCAGGAUGAAGGCCCUCGGGUUGUAAACUGCUUUUGUACGGAACGAAAAGGUCUCUCUUAAUAUGGGGGGCUCAUGACGGUACCGUAAGAAUAAGCACCGGCUAACUACGUGCCAGCAGCCGCGGUAAU
rnacentral:rRNA from 1 species